UCCUUUUGUUAGGUGGGAAAGGAUGAUGGAGAUUGAAGAUGAACUGAUGAUGAUUUUGAUGGAGGUUUCGACAUUCUUCCAUGGUUCCAGAUGUUUUACUGGAAACAUUAAACUUUACCCACCAUGUGUAAAGAGUUGGCAUUUUUGCCAAUUGGGAUAUAUUUCAAAGCAUUUCGGGCUGUGAUCAAUGGAAGAUUUGUGAGGCCUACGCACAUUGUAACAGCUAUGAUCCUAUGGAUGAAAGACAUUUAGGUUUUUCUUUUGUUGCUCAUUACCCUGCUAUGAUUUGUGUAAGGAUCCUUGCACCGUAAUUGAUUUAUGCAAUAUGCCAUUGUACUACAAUAAGAAGGUUUAUUCACUAAAUAAGGUUGAAUACU